CCCCUCUCAGGGUCGCAGCUGGAGAGUUCCCAGUCCUCUACCAGUCUUGACUAUGGGAGGGAGAGUCAAGCAGAGGCCUAUCCAUUCCAUUCCUAGCUUGGGCAGUGGCUAGUGAGUGAAAGGCAAUCUGCUAUAAGU
rnacentral:snoRNA from 2 species